UACAGAGGGGGCGAGCGUUGUUCGGAAUUACUGGGCGUAAAGGGCGCGUAGGCGGCCUUCUAAGUCGAACGUGAAAUCCCCGGGCUCAACCCGGGAACUGCGUCCGAUACUGGAAGGCUUGAAUCCGGGAGAGGGAUGCGGAAUUCCAGGUGUAGCGGUGAAAUGCGUAGAUAUCUGGAGGAACACCGGUGGCGAAGGCGCCACUCUGGGCCGAAACUGACGCUGAGGAGCGAAAGCGUGGGUAGCAAACAGG
rnacentral:rRNA from 1 species